UACGGAGGGUGCAAGCGUUGUUCGGAAUCACUGGGCGUAAAGCGCGUGUAGGCGGUCCGCUAAGUCUGGUGUGAAAGCCCGGGGCUCACCCCCGGAAGGGCACUGGAAACUGGCGGACUCGAGUCCCGGAGAGGAGGGUGGAAUUCCUGGUGUAGCGGUGAAAUGCGUAGAUAUCAGGAGGAACACCGGUGGCGAAGGCGGCCCUCUGGACGGUGACUGACGCUGAGACGCGAAAGCGUGGGGAGCAAACGGG
rnacentral:rRNA from 1 species